rnacentral:piRNA from 1 species
UUAGCCCUUAGAAAGAAUGGUCAUCGCCUG